AACUGUUGGUUCAGCUAUUUUAUCAAACAUCUGGUGAGCAUCUUUAAAUACCUCAAAGUGUUUCCAGAUCAGAUUGAUUUUGAUUCUGUCUCACAUCUUCUCGUACAAUCGUAGAUGGCAAAGGCAAUUUAAUAGGAUAGGUCAUGGAAAACGAAAUUCAGCUUUCAUAAAUUGAAAAUGUCUUAAACCCUACGAACGCAGGAGGGAAGAGCACCUCCUCUCUGUUUCAAGUUUUCUGCAAACUUGGCGGAAAGCUCUGUUUGUUCUAUUAUACACGACAUUGGUAGACAGCAGAGUACAAUCUGAAGAGAAACACAAAAAGAAGAAAAGAAAGCUAAGAGAAUAUGAAGACAAGGAAAUAGAUAGAAAGACUUUGCGUAUCGAUCUUCCGGAGGAGAAAGAAGCAGAAGUAGUAGAAGACGAAUCAGAAGAUUCAAGGAGGACCUUCAAAAAAAUCUAGACUUGAUUUUAUUUAUCCAAAGCAAAGAAUAUGAACUUCAAAGAUUUCGACUCUCACGAUUGUGAUUGAACUGAAGAAGUGAAAAAUGCAGUGGAAGAGAACUGAGAAGAAAAUGCAGUGACAAGAUCUUCCUCCAACCGGGAAUUCAGAGAAAAAUGAGAAAGAUCUUCCUCCAAUCAGGAAAUUCAGAGAAAAAUGAGGUUGUAGAUCCACAGAUGGAAGAGAAGGAGUGAUGAAGCAGGAGACAUUUGCGGCGAAAACAGAUGUCUAGUCUCAUUUUUUCUCUCAAUCCAUUUUAUCGAGAACGAUAACAAUUGUUUUACCGGCUAUUUUACGGCCGUUUUCUAAGUAAAAUUUGUCGACCUAUUUUCCGCUAAA